UAUAAAUUGAGAGUUUGAUCCUGGCUCAGGAUGAACGCUGGCGGCGUGCCUAACACAUGCAAGUCGAGCGGACGAAUAUCAAUGAAGCCUUCGGGUG
rnacentral:rRNA from 1 species